CUGAGUAUUAGGCAAAUCCGGUACUCGUUAAGGCUGAGCUGUGAUGGGGAGAAGACAUUGUGUCUUCGAGUCGUUGAUUUCACACUGCCGAGAAAAGCCUCUAGAUAGAAAAUAGGUGCCCGUACCGCAAACCGACACAGGUAGUCAAGAUGAGAAUUCUAAGGUGAGCGAGCGAACUCUCGUUAAGGAACUCGGCAAAAUGACCCCGUAACUUCGGGAGAAGGGGUGCUCUUUAGGGUUAACGCCCAGAAGAGCCGCAGUGAAUAGGCCCAAGCGACUGUUUAUCAAAAACACAGGUCUCUGCUAAACCGUAAGGUGAUGUAUAGGGGCUGACGCCUGCCCGGUGCUGGAAGGUUAAGAGGAGUGGUUAGCUUCUGCGAAGCUACGAAUCGAAGCCCCAGUAAACGGCGGCCGUAACUAUAACGGUCCUAAGGUAGCGAAAUUCCUUGUCGGGUAAGUUCCGACCCGCACGAAAGGCGUAACGAUUUGGGCACUGUCUCAACGAGAGACUCGGUGAAAUCAUAGUACCUGUGAAGAUGCAGGUUACCCGCGACAGGACGGAAAGACCCCGUGGAGCUUUACUGUAGCCUGAUAUUGAAAUUCGGCACAGCUUGUACAGGAUAGGUAGGAGCCUUUGAAACGUGAGCGCUAGCUUACGUGGAGGCGCUGGUGGGAUACUACCCUAGCUGUGUUGGCUUUCUAACCCGCACCACUUAUCGUGGUGGGAGACAGUGUCAGGCGGGCAGUUUGACUGGGGCGGUCGCCUCCUAAAAGGUAACGGAGGCGCUCAAAGGUUCCCUCAGAAUGGUUGGAAAUCAUUCAUAGAGUGUAAAGGCAUAAGGGAGCUUGACUGCGAGACCUACAAGUCGAGCAGGGUCGAAAGACGGACUUAGUGAUCCGGUGGUUCCGCAUGGAAGGGCCAUCGCUCAACGGAUAAAAGCUACCCCGGGGAUAACAGGCUUAUCUCCCCCAAGAGUUCACAUCGACGGGGAGGUUUGGCACCUCGAUGUCGGCUCAUCGCAUCCUGGGGCUGUAGUCGGUCCCAAGGGUUGGGCUGUUCGCCCAUUAAAGCGGUACGCGAGCUGGGUUCAGAACGUCGUGAGACAGUUCGGUCCCUAUCCGUCGUGGGCGUAGGAAAUUUGAGAGGAGCUGUCCUUAGUACGAGAGGACCGGGAUGGACAUACCUCUGGUGUACCAGUUGUCGUGCCAACGGCAUAGCUGGGUAGCUAUGUGUGGACGGGAUAAGUGCUGAAAGCAUCUAAGCAUGAAGCCCCCCUCAAGAUGAGAUUUCCCAACUUCGGUUAUAAGAUCCCUCAAAGAUGAU
rnacentral:rRNA from 1 species